rnacentral:misc_RNA from 1 species
CUGAGUUAGGGUCUUCCAGGCCCGACCUCCAACCCUUUGCCUACCUUACCUCUUGUUGCUUCGGCCGGCCCGUCCCCCCUAGAAAUAGGGGUCGACCGCCGGAGGGCUCACACCCUCUGGCCCGCGUCCGCCGAUGGCCAACCACUUAAACUCUGAAUGAAUCGUGUCAUAUGUCUAAGUCUAUGAUUAAAUUAAAGCA